rnacentral:lncRNA from 1 species
GGAGACUCUAAGACUUCUGAAGAGUUUCUUGCUUCUUUCCUGUGGGGCAGUGACUCCACUUCCCAGCAGUAAUGGAAUAUCCUGAAUUAGCUACAUUAAUGUUAGAACCAUUUGGACCUCACCCAGGACUUCAACUACAUUAUGGAUGUUAUAAGAAAUGAGACUCACUACUGAAUUCACAGCAGGCAUGGUUGAAGGCACCAUUCACUAUAGCUUGCAGUGUUCCCUUUAUGAGAUUUGUAUGAGAAAUUCCUCUCAUAGGUCAAGUUCUUGGGAGAAAAUUCUCCCAAAGAGCAAGUCCCAGGAAAAUCUUGGCUGCUAAAGUUACAGAACCCAAAUUUGGCAACUGUCUGCAUCUGAACAACAGAAGUUUCAACAUUCUGCCAACAGAGUAACUCCUGGACGAUUGGCACAGAAGAAGGCACAAGGCAAAUACCCAUCUCUGUACACCCUGUGCUACUGUGUCAUGUGCUGCUCCAGGCAACUCCAAUGGAUUGGCCACCCUGGCCAAUGUGUUCUAGUAUGUUACGUUUAUGUUCCCCUGCUUUCUACAAUCCUGUUCAAAGAGUUGCUGACUUAACCACAGAGAGGAUUCCAGAACCUGAGACACAGAAUAAACUUGAGCAAUCAUAGUCCAUCCACUUCAUUGUCUCAUCAAAAACCAAAGGUCCAGUGAAGCUCUGGAACUCAACGCUGUAAAGGAGCGAAGGAGCUUCUAUACAGAGCCUGGAUGCCUGUCUCCUUAUCCUACUUCAGUGGACUUGACUG